AGGACUAACGCUGGCGGCGUGCCUAACACAUGCAAGUCGAACGAGAGUAGCAAUACUCUAGUGGCAGACGGGUGAGUAACACGUGGUCAACCUACCUCUAUGUGGGGGAUAACUAGCCGAAAGGUUAGCUAAUACCGCAUACGAUCGUCGAGCGGCAUCGCUUGACGAUGAAAGGAGCAAUCCGCAGAGAGACGGGACCGCGUCCCAUUAGCUAGUUGGUGGGGUAACGGCCUACCAAGGCGACGAUGGGUAGCUGGCUUGAGAGAGCGACCAGCCACACUGGGACUGAGACACGGCCCAGACUCCUACGGGAGGCAGCAGUGAGGAAUUUUUCCGCAAUGGGCGAAAGCCUGACGGAGCGACGCCGCGUGUGGGAAGAAGGCCCUAGGGUCGUAAACCACUGUCGAAGGGGAGAUAUUGACGGUACCCUUGGAGGAAGCCCCGGCUAACUACGUGCCAGCAGCCGC
rnacentral:rRNA from 1 species